rnacentral:lncRNA from 1 species
AUGAAGUGUAUUUAUCAAUGCCUAUUCUCUUGCCCUACUAAUUACUUUAAAUGUUGUGAAGCUGUGUCAGUGAAACCAUUAGGAGGGCUCUUAAACAGGCAAAUGUUGGACUCUGGAACUGACAGUUUUCAUGAUGCCAGCAACAAUACCAGUACCCACGCAUGCAUCUAAAGUAAGGGUCCUCUGCUAAAGAAGAGAAGGCAAAGAGAAGAUCUUGAAAUAACGAUGUGUUCUUCAAAGUCAGAUAUUAUGCUCUACUUUUGCAGCGUCAAGGAGCUGGUCUUGACGUUUUUUGCCUGAAGUUGGAAACCAUGCUCCAGCUCGGGAAGUACCACUAGUACAAGAAAGAAGAAAGAUUGUUUUAGUCUUGCAAAUCUGCUCCUCUUUAUACCUGCCAGGAUGAUGUUUGAUGCUUUGGCAACAGCAAUACAUUGUUGACUCAUGCUGAGCUGCAAUCCUCUCUUCUAUUUGGUUUCUUUCUGGGAACAGGUAGGGUUAUAGGAUAAAUCAGCCUGGAAAAGACAUCAAGAGGUGUCUAGUCCAACCUCCUGCUCAAAGCAGGGUCACUUCUGUGCUCAAACCAAGUUGCUCAGGCUUAUCUCUGGUUAUUAUUUCUCAUCCUCCUGCCAUGCCUUGCUUUGAAGAAUCUGGAUCCAUCUUUUCUACCUGACCUCCCUUAUAGGUGCUGAGGGGCUGGUGUUAGGUACCAAAAAAGCCAUGUCUGCCCUAAGCUGAACUAACCCUAGUCCCUCAACACCUCCUCCCAGAGUGAGUUCUCCAGCAUCUGACCAUCCUGGUGGCCUUCCAUUAACACCACUCCAGAUCUGAACAUGAUACUUCCAUGAAUGCUGACUAAAGGGGAAUGAUCACCUUGCUCCAUCUGUGGUUGUGCUCCUUUCCACUCAGCUCUGGAUGUUGUUGGCUGGCUAUUUGCUGCCAGGGCACACUGCUGGCUCAUGCUCAAUUCCCUGUCUGUCAGCACCCUCAGCACCUUGUCAGCAAAACUGAUCCCCAAAGUCAAGCCUGAGCUUGACUUCAGUGCUGUAGGACAGUCUUUCCUGUGAGGUCCAGGACUUUACAUCAAUGGUGCUUUAGAGUGUACUAAAUGCCAGGUUGUUUAUAAACCACAUCUCCAUCACUCAGGAAGCAGAACCUCCUCCAGACCACAAAGAUUUGGUAAAACUGAUUUGUUCAAAGGAUUUUCCAAUAGAGAGACAUACCUUUUCUUUAUUCUCUCUAAGGAGCAAAAGCCUAUUAUUGUUUUUGGAGAAAUAUAAAUACAGCUUCAGGAAGGUCAUGUAUCCUUCAAGUAGCAGAGCAAAUCCCUCUCUGUUCUCCUCAGUCAUGGCAGUCAGAAUCUUCAGAGGAACUAAAGUUAAAUUUUAGAAAUAUAGUUCUCGAUUCAGAUAUUUUUUUCUUUCUGUGAUUGAUUUAAAAACCUAUUAUGGUAGCAUUUCUCAUGUAGCAGUUUAAUAUUACAAAGAAAUGUUCAUAUUCCAAAUUAAGCAUUGUUUAUAACUACAGCUUAGAAAUGGGAUUUUGCAAAAAGACAGGAUGAACCCACAAGAGCAUCUUUCCUCUGACUCUAAAAUGCCAUGCAAGUCUUUAGUGCUUUAUUGAAGCAUAAAUUCAAUUCUCUGAUGGAUGCAUGACUUCCUUAACAGCACUUUGUAGUUACUCAAUAACUGUUACCUUGUAAUAAUGUGAGCUUCCUUUAGGAAAUUCCUCUUUGCACAUUCAUGCAUAUGAUUUUGCUGAGAUUUGGAAAGGGAAGUUUACCAAAUUGUCUAAUUUAUUAAUUUCUUUGUACCAUGUUCAUCACCAUGAUGUCUACAUAUUUCUUUAAUUAUUGAAGCUUUAUUGUGUUUCACCAUUGUAUGAUAGGAAGGAAACAAGAGUUAUUUGUUAUUAUCCAAGCUUUAAUCUUCAAACAGGAUAUUAAAAAAGGCUAACUGCCUAUAAGAACUAUAAAACGGUACUUCAGCUCUUGCACCUUUAUACAGUGUAAUUAUAAUUGUAUUACUGGAACCUGCACAAGUGCAUGCUAACCUACUCACGGUAACGAAAGCUUUAAUCUUCAAUUAUUACUUCCUGUGCUUGUUGUCUUCAUGUUCCUUCUGCAGAGUACAUUGGACCAUUCCAGCACAAAAUUAAUCUCUUGUAGAAAAUAAAUCACCCUUUACUUUCUAGUUAAAAUAUAUU